UCAGCGGCUCGUUUGAGAGACACCCAAGUAGCACGGGGCCCGAGAAAUCCCGUGUGAAUCUGGCGGGACCACCCGCUAAGCCUAAAUAUUCCCUGGUGACCGAUAGCGGAUAGUACCGUGAGGGAAUGGUGAAAAGUACCGCGGGAGCGGAGCGAAAUAGUACCUGAAACCGUGUGCCUACAAGCCGUAGGAGCGUCGCGCAUCCAGCUUGCUCGGUGCUUCGUGACUGCGUGCCUUUUGAAGAAUGAGCCGGCGAGUUAGCGGUGUGUAGCGAGGUUAACCCGUGUGGGGAAGCCGUAGCGAAAGCGAGUCCGAAGAGGGCGAUUUGAGUUGCACGCUCUAGACCCGAAGCGGAGUGAUCUAGCCAUGGGCAGGUUGAAGCGGCUGUAAGAGGUCGUGGAGGACCGAACCCACCAGGGUUGAAAACCUGGGGGAUGACCUGUGGUUAGGGGUGAAAGGCCAAUCAAACUCCGUGAUAGCUGGUUCUCCCCGAAAUGCAUUUAGGUGCAGCGUCGUGUGUUUCUUGCCGGAGGUAGAGCACUGGAUAGGCGAUGGGCCCUACCGGGUUACUGACCUUAGCCAAACUCCGAAUGCCGGUAAGUGAGAGCGCGGCAGUGAGACUGUGGGGGAUAAGCUCCAUGGUCGAGAGGGAAACAGCCCAGAGCAUCGACUAAGGCCCCUAAGCGUACGCUAAGUGGGAAAGGAUGUGGAGUCGCAGAGACAACCAGGAGGUUGGCUUAGAAGCAGCCACCCUUGAAAGAGUGCGUAAUAGCUCACUGGUCUAGUGAUUCCGCGCCGACAAUGUAGCGGGGCUCAAGCGUACCGCCGAAGUCGUGUCAUUGCAGCAUGAGGGCCAACGCCCGCUGUGAUGGGUAGGGGAGCGUCGUGUGCCGGGUGAAGCAGCCGUGGAAGCGAGUUGUGGACGGUUC
rnacentral:rRNA from 1 species